GAUGAAGAACGCAGCGAAAUGCGAUAAGUAAUGUCAAUUGCAGAAUUCAGUGAAUCAUCGAAUCUUUGAACGCACCUUGCACCCUUUGGCAUUCCGAAGGGUAUGCUCGUUUGAGUGUCAUUGUACUCUCACACUUCUGAUCCUUUGGAUUGGGAGCGGUGGACUUGGGUGUUGCUGCUUUACUGUGGCUCACCUCAAAUGCAUUCGUGCAACUCUUGGUUGGACAUAGUACGGCGUGAUAAGUAUCUUCGCCGGCACCUCGCAAGAGGGUGGCUGAUCAGGAGCUCUGUGCUUUCCAACUGUCUUCAGACAACAACUGACAACUUGACCUCAAAUCGAGUAGGACCACCCGCUGAACUUAAGCAUAUCAAUAAGCGGAGGA
rnacentral:misc_RNA from 1 species